GAUGAAGAACGCAGCGAAAUGCGAUAAGUAAUGUGAAUUGCAGAAUUCAGUGAAUCAUCGAAUCUUUGAACGCACAUUGCGCCCGCCAGUAUUCUGGCGGGCAUGCCUGUUCGAGCGUCAUUACAACCCUCAGGCCCCCGGGCCUGGCGUUGGGGAUCGGCGGAGCCCCCCGUGGGCACACGCCGUCCCCCAAAUGCAGUGGCGGUCCCGCCGCAGCUUCCAUUGCGUAGUAGCUAACACCUCGCAACUGGAGAGCGGCGCGGCCACGCCGUAAAACACCCAACUUCUGAAUGUUGACCUCGAAUCAGGUAGGAAUACCCGCUGAACUUAAGCAUAUCAAUAAGCGGAGGA
rnacentral:misc_RNA from 1 species